rnacentral:rRNA from 1 species
GGAGGAAAGCAGGGGAUCGAAAGACCUUGCGCUUUGGGAGCGGCCGAUGUCUGAUUAGCUAGUUGGUGGGGUAAAGGCCUACCAAGGCGACGAUCAGUAGUUGGUCUGAGAGGACGACCAGCCACACUGGGACUGAGACACGGCCCAGACUCCUACGGGAGGCAGCAGUGGGGAAUUUUGGACAAUGGGCGCAAGCCUGAUCCAGCAAUGCCGCGUGAGUGAAGAAGGCCUUCGGGUUGUAAAGCUCUUUCAGUCGAGAAGAAAAGACUGCAGUGAAUAACUGCAGUUCAUGACGGUAUCGACAGAAGAAGCACCGGCUAACUACGUGCCAGCAGCCGCGGUAAUACGUAGGGUGCGAGCGUUAAUCGGAAUUACUGGGCGUAAAGGGUGCGCAGGCGGCUUUGUAAGUCAGAUGUGAAAUCCCCGGGCUUAACCUGGGAAUUGCGUUUGAAACUACAAGGCUAGA